UGAUGUGUCAAGUCUGAAGCUUAAACUCGUGAAUUACCUGAAAGGGAAAAACUAAAAGGAUGAGCAACACGAGCUCAGUAUGAGUCUGAAACAUAAGUGAAUGGCAGAAACGGAGCAACACAACAAAUAUUUAAGAAACAUACCUAUACCAAAAACAUACGAAAUUCCCAAAUUGGUAAUUCGUUUAUGAAUUUUAUUUCCACUAACCAAUGGUACGCAAAAAUAUUAUUCAGUAUUAACCCUGUCAAUCAUUUUUCAGAUGUGUAAUGAAUACACAGAUAAAAAACCCAUCCAACGAACCAAACAUCACUCCGACCACCCUGCACACCAUAAUUGGGCUAUAUUAGGGCACCCUACACACCACAAAGGGCUAUUAUAAGCUUGUCCACCCUACAAACCACAUAGUGGGUCUCAGUCACUCAGCUGACAUAUAUAUAUGCAUUGCAGAUGUACCACUUUCAAAAUAAUUUUGCAAUUUGACUGCUUAGAAUAGACUUCCUUCUUUUCACAACCAAAACCCCAGUUUUAUGCAAAUGCGAAAAUAUGUACACAAUAUACAAACAGACAUAUAGAAAUGAACUUCCUCACAACUAGAGUAACAAAACCAGAAUUCACAUGCCUACAUUCAACUAAACACAACAAAACACAUUAUUGCAUCCAAGUUUAUAUAAAUAACAUAAUUACAAACCCAAUAUCAAAUAUGUGCUCACGAAUACAACAUUACACAUGCAAAUAGCAUUUCAUAAUUAGUUUAAAAAAAAUUAAGAUCUCACACACUCCUACAGAACUUAAACUAACACAGGAUCAUUCAGGGUCUAAAUCGCAUCGAUUUGUAAAAAGGAAAAAAAAUAAAGAAAUAGUAAAAAAAAAGGCCAUACGGCUGUGUGACCAGGCCAUGUGGGAAGGUCCAACCCGUGUGAGGGUCAACAGGGUCGUCUGGAAAAUUCAUACGGUCAUGUGGCUACAACACGCCCGUGUGGCUACAACACGCUUGUGUGACUAAGUUGCACGACCAUGUGAGUUUCCCAUGUAACUCACUGUGCAUUUGUAACCAAAAUUAGCAUAAUUUUUUAAGUAGAGAAGACACGACCGUGUGGCUAAUUCGCACGCUCGUGUGGCUGAGAUACAUGACCGUGUGACUAAACGACACGCCCGUGUGUAAUCGACACAAUCUUCCUAACAUGGGUCACACGGCUGCGUAACUAGCCCAUGUGACCCACCUUAGAUCGUGUGCCACAAAGCACACCUAAUUUCCAAAUGGCGCACGACUGUGUGAAUCGUUCGUGCGUGGCACAUGCCCGUGUGCCUCAAAACCACCCCCAAACUUGAUGCACAACCAUAAAAUACAUAAAAAACACUCCAAAUACAAAUGUUUAGUAAAUCACACGUUAUUAAGUUCACAAACACCAACGAACGAUCACAAUUCCCCCCGUUGAACAAAACUGAAACUCAAUUACAAGAUCACACAAACUAUUCUAAAACCUUAAUCAACAAUAAUAAAGAAUCCAGAAAACCAAAUUAAAAUUCAAAGGCACUUACACUUUCAACACUUAAACAAAUUAAUCACGCAAUUCCUCUAUUGAAUGAUUGAAACAAAAACUUUAAUGCACGACCAAAUAUAUACAAAAAGAAUCACAAUAGCCAAAAAGAGAAAAAAAGAUGGAACUGAAAAAGGAAGAAAAAGAAGCCAACGUGCGAGAGAAUCAGAGGAAAAGUAGAAUAACGUGAACAAAAAAUUUUAGGGAUUCCUUUCCCUUCUUUUUUUUUAAUUAAAAUUAAAAACUCCAAUAGUUUUUUAUUAAUAAUUUAAAACCAAUCAGAUUUUACUAAUUAUUAUUAUAAAAAAAUAUUUCAAAAUAAUAUAACAAUAUCAGAUUUUAUCAAAACCCUUCAAAUUUAAUUACAAAGUUUUAAAGAAUUAAAAUCAAUAAUUCUAAAAAAAAAAUCCCACAUUGCAUACACAUGGACUCGAACCUGAGACCAAAUGUAAGUUACUGAAGAGAUAGCCGCUGAACAAUCCAACCGAACCACAAACCCCAGCCAACUAACCUGGGUAAUUUUAACCCCAAUUUUGAGGUGUUACAACUCACCUCUCAUUAAAGAAAUUUUGUCCUCGAAAUUUCCUACUAACCAUGCUAUUGCCUAAGCACAAGACUCACCACUACGCUUCCGUUGUGCACUCUACUCCCAACGUGCUACCAUAUCAUACUUAACCUUAAAAUCACUCACACCACUCAAACACUUAACCACUAAUUCAAAUCAAUUCACUUACUAUCACACACACAACACAUUAUCCAACAAUCAAAAAGUCAACUCAUUCACAAACAACACUACACAUAAGUCGAGAUAUCCCACAACUAUACCUGACUCAUUGUCAUCAAGUGCACUCCUUAAUCUGAUGCUCCGUGGACCCGCAUCUGAAAUAUGCUCCUGAGUUUUUUCGACAUUCAUCUAGAUGAUGCUUCUUACAAUGCCUACAAACAGAAACAUCCAUGCCACUAGCAAAACCUUCGACAUUAUGUAACACCCCCACGCCCGAAACCGUCACCGGAGUCAAGCUUGAGGUGUUACUAAACUUAUCUUACCUUUUAAACAACUCUAAACCACUUAUUUUAAUUUUCAGAAUAAACUGUUUUUCUGCGUCAUGGUUGCUUAAAAAUUCAUUUCUCGAGUUUCAAAACUCGAAAUUAAGAUCCAUAAAUUUUUCCUGAACUAGACUCAUAUAUCUAUCUACUAAUUUUUUUCUAGAAUUUUUGACUUAGCCAAUUAGUACAGUUUAUUAGUUAAAGUUACCCCUGUUUCAGAAUUCGACUGCACUGGCCUCUACUUACUACGAACCAUUUUUCUCUCUGUAAAAAAAUCAUAUGACUAUAUCGUUUGUUUAUAAUAAAACUAGAUUCAAUAAGAAUUCUAACCAUAUAAAGUACACCACCUAAUUAUUUUUGUAAAAUUUAUGGUGAAUUUCUAAAGUUGGAACAGGGGAUCCAGAAAUCGCUCUGGCCCUAUUUCACCAAAACUCAGAUACCCUAUAAAAUACAAAACCUUUACCUAUUUUGCUUAUUCCAUAUGAAAAUAGACACAACGAACUUUAAUUUCAUAUAUUAUUCACCAUCAACCCAUGUCUCUACAAUUUCUUGUGAUUUUUCAAAAUCCCAUUAUUUCUGAUACUUGAAUCUAUUUUUAAGUUACUUUCACAUUUUUCUUAGUUUUCAUGUGAUAGUUACUACUUAAUCAUACAUACUAUUAAACAUGUAUAUCAUCAGCCACUCUAUUAGCUAAUCACUAGCAAGUAUUUACACAUCAUUCAUUGAUCAUAUCAUAUCAAAAGAAACCAAGUUCCUAUACAUGCCAUAAACAAAACGAAACGUCUAACUAUACCAAUGUGAUUUCUUCGAUAGUGUGAUCGGAUCUCCGACAUUUCCUUCGAUCCCCGAGUGGCUU
rnacentral:lncRNA from 1 species